rnacentral:rRNA from 1 species
UACAGAGGUGGCAAGCGUUGUUCGGAAUUACUGGGCGUAAAGGGCGCGUAGGCGGCCUGUUAAGUCGAACGUGAAAUCCCUGGGCUCAACCCAGGAACUGCGUCCGAUACUGGCAGGCUUGAAUUCGGGAGAGGGAUGCGGAAUUCCAGGUGUAGCGGUGAAAUGCGUAGAUAUCUGGAGGAACACCGGUGGCGAAGGCGGCAUCCUGGACCGAUAUUGACGCUGAGGCGCGAAAGCCAGGGGAGCAAACGGG